GAAGGUCCCCCACACUGGAACUGAGACACGGUCCAGACUCCUACGGGAGGCAGCAGUGAGGAAUAUUGGUCAAUGGACGCAAGUCUGAACCAGCCAUGUCGCGUGCAGGAUGACUGCCCUAUGGGUUGUAAACUGCUUUUAUAUUGGAAGAAUUGCGCUUACGAUUUAAGCGUUUGACGGUACAUUAUGAAUAAGGAUCGGCUAACUCCGUGCCAGCAGCCGCGGUAAUACGGAGGAUCCGAGCGUUAUCCGGACUUAUUGGGUUUAAAGGGUGCGUAGGCGGAAAUGUAAGUCAGUGGUGAAAUCGUGCAGCUUAACUGUAGAAUAGCCGUUGAAACUGUGUUUCUUGAGUACAUUUGAGGUAGGCGGAAUGUGGUGUGUAGCGGUGAAAUGCAUAGAUAUACCACAGAACACCGAUUGCGAAGGCAGCUUACUAAACUGUCACUGACGCUGAUGCACGAAAGCGUGGGUAUCAAACGAGGAUUAGAUACCCUGGUAGUCCACGCUGUAAACGAAAAUUACUGGUUGUUUGCGAUACACUGCAAGUGCACUGAGAGAAAGCAUUAAGUAAUCCAGGUGGGGAGUACGUAGGCUAUGACGAAAGUCAUAGGAAGAGUCGGGGGACCGCACAAGCGGAGGAACAGGUGGUUUAAUUAGAUGAUACGGGAGGAACCUGACCGGGGUUAAAGUGGGGAGUGACAGGCUAGGAAACAGGGUGUUCUUUGGACAAUCUUCAUGUUGCUGCAUGGUGGUCGUCAGAUUGAGCCGUGAGGCGUGGGGGUAAGUCCCAUAACGAGGGCAACACCUAUCGAUAGUCACCAGCAGGGUGCGGGGGGGAUUAUAUGGCGACUCCGGGUGUAAACCGUGAGGAGGGGGGGGAUGACGUCAAAUGAGCACGGACCUGACAUCCAGGGCUACCCAGGAGCUACAAUGGCCGGGACAAAGGGCAGCUAUGCAGGGAUGUGAUGAUAAUAUCCAAAUCCGGUAUCAGUUCGGAUAGAAGUCUGCAAUCCGAUUUCGUGAAGCGGGAUUGGGUAGUAAUUGGGCAUCAGCCAUGGAGCGGGGAUUAGGUUCCUGGGCCUUGCACUCACCGCCCGUCAAG
rnacentral:rRNA from 1 species